UGGUGGGUAGUUUGACUGGGGCGGUCUCCUCCUAAAGAGUAACGGAGGAGCACGAAGGUUGGCUAAUCCUGGUCGGACAUCAGGAGGUUAGUGCAAUGGCAUAAGCCAGCUUGACUGCGAGCGUGACGGCGCGAGCAGGUGCGAAAGCAGGUCAUAGUGAUCCGGUGGUUCUGAAUGGAAGGGCCAUCGCUCAACGGAUAAAAGGUACUCCGGGGAUAACAGGCUGAUACCGCCCAAGAGUUCAUAUCGACGGCGGUGUUUGGCACCUCGAUGUCGGCUCAUCACAUCCUGGGGCUGAAGUAGGUCCCAAGGGUAUGGCUGUUCGCCAUUUAAAGUGGUACGCGAGCUGGGUUUAGAACGUCGUGAGACAGUUCGGUCCCUAUCUGCCGUGGGCGCUGGAGAACUGAGGGGGGCUGCUCCUAGUACGAGAGGACCGGAGUGGACGCAUCACUGGUGUUCGGGUUGUCAUGCCAAUGGCACUGCCCGGUAGCUACAUGCGGAAGAGA
rnacentral:rRNA from 1 species